rnacentral:rRNA from 1 species
GUCCACGCCGUAAACGAUGGAUACUAGCUGUUGGGCGCAAGUUCAGUGGCUAAGCGAAAGUGAUAAGUAUCCCACCUGGGGAGUACGUUCGCAAGAAUGAAACUCAAAGGAAUUGACGGGGGCCCGCACAAGCUGUGGAGCAUGUGGUUUAAUUCGAUGAUACGCGAGGAACCUUACCAAGGCUUAAAUGUAGUUUGACCGAUUUGGAAACAGAUCUUUCGCAAGACAAAUUACAAGGUGCUGCAUGGUUGUCGU